rnacentral:lncRNA from 1 species
UAAUGAGUCAAACUAAGUUACCAUCGGAUCUGAGACAAACAGAGAAGUGGCUCUAGUUUAAGCUUAUUUUAUCUUCAGUUGCCUUCUUCCACAAGGCAGUGGAGAUAAUAGUCUCAGCCCACUCCAAUGUAUUAGUGAAUGCAAAGUGUGCAGUUUUGAUUUCAUUGUUGAGAAAGUAUAAGGAAUAAUGCUUCACUUUUACGUACAUUUUGUGGAGAUAGGACAUAGAGGAAGUGGAGUAAAACCAUUUGAAGACCAUAAACAACCAUUUUAAGAUCAUAUUUUUGUGGUAAGAGAUUUGUGUGUCUGCGUGUGUGUUAA